rnacentral:rRNA from 1 species
UAGAGCUUGAUCAUGGCUCAGAUUGAACGCUGGCGGCAGGCCUAACACAUGCAAGUCGAGCGGUAGAGAGAAGCUUGCUUCUCUUGAGAGCGGCGGACGGGUGAGUAAUGCCUAGGAAUCUGCCUGGUAGUGGGGGAUAACGUUCGGAAACGAACGCUAAUACCGCAUACGUCCUACGGGAGAAAGCAGGGGACCUUCGGGCCUUGCGCUAUCAGAUGAGCCUAGGUCGGAUUAGCUAGUUGGUGAGGUAAUGGCUCACCAAGGCGACGAUCCGUAACUGGUCUGAGAGGAUGAUCAGUCACACUGGAACUGAGACACGGUCCAGACUCCUACGGGAGGCAGCAGUGGGGAAUAUUGGACAAUGGGCGAAAGCCUGAUCCAGCCAUGCCGCGUGUGUGAAGAAGGUCUUCGGAUUGUAAAGCACUUUAAGUUGGGAGGAAGGGCAUUAACCUAAUACGUUAGUGUUUUGACGUACCGACAG